GAUGAACGCUGGCGGCGUGCCUAAUACAUGCAAGUCGAGCGAACGGACGAGAAGCUUGCUUCUCUGAUGUUAGCGGCGGACGGGUGAGUAACACGUGGAUAACCUACCUAUAAGACUGGGAUAACUUCGGGAAACCGUAGCUAAUACCGGAUAAUAUUUUGAACCGCAUGGUUCAAAAGUGAAAGACGGUCUUUCUGUCACUUAUAGAUGGAUCCGCGCUGCAUUAGCUAGUUGGUAAGGUAACGGCUUACCAAGGCAACGAUGCAUAGCCGACCUGAGAGGGUGAUCGGCCACACUGGAACUGAGACACGGUCCAGACUCCUACGGGAGGCAGCAGUAGGGAAUCUUACGCAAUGGGCGAAAGCCUGACGGAGCAACGCCGCGUGAGUGAUGAAGGUCUUCGGAUCGUAAAACUCUGUUAUUAGGGAAGAACAUAUGUGUAAGUAACUGUGCACAUCUUGACGGUACCUAAUCAGAAAGCCACGGCUAACUACGUG
rnacentral:rRNA from 1 species